ensembl:lncRNA
CAGGGUUAUGGGGUCACACCCUGCCCAGCCCAGGGCUGGUCACGGCUGUGGGGUCCCGAGGGGCCCGUUUGGGGCCGGUCUCAGGCCGGGCCAGGGGCCAGCAGGGCCACGUGAGCCGCAGCCGCCGCAGCCACCGCUGCUUCCUGGAGGCAAAUCCAGCCCCGAGCACGUGGCCAGGCUCUGGAGCCCCUCCUGCCCUCCCCAGCACCUGCCCGACCCUUCCCAAAGGGAUCCACCCCAUUCCUGCACGGAACACCCAGAUCCCAGCCCUGAACGUUCUCCCUUUACCCACAGGAUCCCAAAAAUCCUAAAGCUCCGGGGAGAAGGAUCAAAGCCCCGAGGUCACGUCCAGCUCUGAGUGACACAUGAACGGGUUUGUGAAAUUAAAAUUUGGCGUUUUAUAACCUCCCAACCCUGUCUUUUCUUAUCGGGAGCUGCUCCUCCCCCUGUGCCCGCGGAGGAACCAGGAAACGCCAGGGAGCAAAAAUCCCUGAGAAGGGCCGGGCUGGGUCCCACCCGGCCGGGAAGACCCGGCUGGAACAGCCCCGCUCCUCCUGCCACAGCCCCAACCCCUCCCGGGGCCGGGAUCCCGGCAGCACCCCACCGAACGGGGAAGGGAUUUGGGAUUUGUUUUCCAGCCACGGGGGAGGAAAGCAAAGGAAUAAUAAAGUCAGGGGGAAAUGGAGCUCGGGGCACGGGAACAGCGAUGCCAAGGACAGCUCCCUGUCCCUAUCCAGCUUCUCCAGCCCAAACCCUGCCGUGGGAAGAAGGAGGAGGAUGUGUUUUGGCUGGAAUCUGGUGGUUUAGAAAAGGAGAUUUUUUUUUACAGGUGCCAGGCUCUUCUGGGAGCCAACAGGGAGGAGGGUCCUCAUCCCACAGAAAGGGAGCAGGGUGCUCAUCCCACAGAAUGGAAGCAGGGUCCUAAUCCCAUAGAAAGGGAGCAGAAUACCUCAUCCCACAGAAUNNNNNNNNNNGGUCCUAAUCCCAUAGAAAGGGAGCAGAAUACCUCAUCCCACAGAAUGGGAGCAGGUCCUAAUCCCACAGAAAGGGAGCAGGGUGCUCAUCCCAUGGAAUGGGAGCAGGAGGAUGAGGUGGCACUGCCCCACAGACUCCCCCUCCCCAAAAAUCCCUGUGUCCCCCCUCAUCUCGCAGUGCCAGCAGCUGCCAGGGACCCUGUGGCCAUUUCCAUGUCCUGCAAUGCCCUGGAUGGUGCACAGGGGUGGGAUGGCUGUGGGAUGGCUCUGGGAUCACUGUGGGAUCACUGUGGGACUGCUGUGGGAUCACUGUGGGAUCACUGCGGGAUCAUUGUGGGAUGGCUGUGGGAUCACUGUGGGAUCGCCGUGGAUCACUGUGGGAUGGCUGUGGAUCACUGUGGGAUGGCUGUGGAUUGCUGUGGGAUUGCUGUGGGAUCACUGUGGGAUCACUGUGGGAUGGCUCUGGGACUGCUGUGGGAUCACUGUGGGAUGGCUGUGGAUCACUGUGGGACUGCUGUGGGAUCACUGUGGGAUGGCUCUGGGAUGGCUGUGGGAUCACUGUGGGAUCGCUGUGGGAUCACUGUGGGACCACUGUGGGAUCGCUGUGGGAUAGCUGUGGGAUCGCUGUGGGAUCACUGUGGGAUCACUGUGGGAUCACUGUGGGAUGGCUUGUGGGAUGGCUGUGGGAUCGCUGUGGGACCGCUGUGGGAUGGCUGUGGGAUCACUGUGGGAUGGCUGUGGAUCACUGUGGGAUCAC